AUGCAUUCUUCAUUUGCUCUUCUCAGUUGCCUCUUCUGUGUAUUUAGACCAUCACAGUUACACGCGUAUAACCAUCUCUCAUCUCUGAUGAUUGCUCAUUCUCUCCUCCGUGUGCAUUUCUUCAUAAGCAGGAGAUGAUCCACGGAUCUUUGUGUUUUGCACAAAAACUCUUGUAAUGACCUCUGGAAACCAAAAGAAAAAAAAAUCAACAUCAAGAGGAUGGAUGUUCAAGCAAAUUUCUCCAUUGUCCACAUUGUGGAACAGUGGAAGACAGGGCCUGUAUUUAGGCCAUCACAGUUCAGAAUUCAGAUACACAUGACCCUCUCAACUCUGAAGACUAUCUGUGGAACAGUGCAAAUUUCUCCAUUGUCCACAUUGUGGAACAGUGGAAGACAGGGCCUGUAUUUAGGCCAUCACAGUUCAGAAUUCAGAUACACAUGACCCUCUCAACUCUGAAGACUAUCUGUGGAACAGUGCAAAUUUCUCCAUUGUCCACAUUGUGGAACAGUGGAAGACAGGGCCUGUAUUUAGGCCAUCACAGUUCAGAAUUCAGAUACACAUGACCCUCUCAACUCUGAAGACUAUCUGUUCUCUCCUCCAAUUGCCUUGCUUGAGAAGCCGGAGAUUAUCCACGCAUAUUUCUGUUUUGCAUAUCUUUUCUUAGGAAGAAACCGAAUGCAGUCCUCUUUGAUGACCUUUGAGCAGAGACAAAUUGAGAGCUACCCGCAUGCAUGGCCAAAUACUUAUAUGAGUAUUUAAGAAAAAGAAGAGGCGAUAGUGAUACUGAAUCUUGGAUUUCUUGUAAUGAUCCUGCAAUUUCUGUGCCAUAAAAGUUUGCAAGGACCUACAAUCAAGAAUCCCAAAACCAGUGCAUCAUGCCGCACGCAUUACCGGAAUCGGUGCAAGCAGUCGUUUUCUAAAAGGAAGAAUUGGGUAGCAUACACCAUACAGUAUUGUUUCUGAACUAUACUUUAUUGGCAUUCAACUUGUAGCUAAACAAAGCGAAGUACGAAGCCCCGACCAACUUGCAUGGCAUAUUUUCCCUGAAAAAGGAACAACUUGCGUGGUAUUUAGCUUUUCGUGUGCUACCACCACCUAUGGGUUUCUCUAUCUUUGAUUGAGAAUCCUGCAUCUUGGAGCGUAGCGAGUGGCUGUCAUAGCCACAUCGAUGCAAUUACAGUAUGAGCAAGUUGUGCAAAUUGCAGCCUAAAAUACAACAUAUCAGCGGAUCAUGCAUGGAAACCACCGGUAGCCCUUGUUGCCCACCGGAUUGAGAGGCGGUUUCUUGCACUCGUUGGAAAACUGCUGCUGCAAAAUCCUGGAUGCAGAAGAGAGGUUUAGUUGCUUGCAAGCUACAGUGUGAUGCGUGUUCUCUGAAUCUCAUACGGUAUCACCAUCUCAACAACUACAGUCUUUAGAAUUGCUUUUUGGAAAAUAAAUAAUUUUAUUGAUCUUCCGCCUCUGCUGCAUCACGUAAAUGCACAGAGCCAUACCAGCUCGUACUUAUCACAAGCAUAAUCCACACAAAAGGAGAAAGUGCGUCCAAAUAUUCAUAAGCAAGACGAACCACAAAAGUCUGCAAUUGCCUAAUCGACUGCAGGCGCGUCAACUAGUAGCUGCAAAUAACUUCAUCACCAAAGCCUCCUUAAACUCUCCCUCUUUGCGCCCAGAGCUGUCCUCAAGAAUGAUCCAAAAAUAUCACGACCUUCUUGCAAAACUGGAGAUAAGGGUCUUUCGUUGCAAUUGCAACUUUUGCUAUGCUCGUAAUAACUUUUUUUUUUUAGAAAAAGGCAGUCGACUCUGUCAUCCGAUUAGAUAGAUAGAAGAUGUUUAUGUAUAGAAAACGACGCUGCAACACAGUGCCCUCAUGACUCGCACACCCCACUCACACCGCACACUCCACUCACACAGAAAACGAUGUUGUAAUAAUGUCUUUUUAGAUCAACAGGGAUCACUCCCCAGCUCCAUUCCAUAGAAAAGAAGCCAUACAAGGUUCAAGCGACAAGAGCAAACAGAAACUGCCCCCCGUUGCACGCGCGGGCGGCUCCGGGGGCGUCCCCAAACCUAACCAAAGCAACCAAGCCGUGCGGCCCUUCCCGCCGGCGGCGGCCGCGGUGCUAGCGGCGCCCGGCCGUCGAAAGCGGCGGGGCAAGGAUGGCGGACCCUACCCCUUCCUCUGCGCGCGGUGAGGUGGGAUCGGUGAUUGCGCAAGGUGUUGGCACGGUGGUUGUUCUUGGCGUGGCGACGGGGCAAUCAGCCGUGGUGGAGAGGCGGAUCGGUGGCACAAAGGCAGAGCUGCGGCGGUGCGCCUGGCUGCGCGACUGGCGGCGGCCAAUCUGGGACCCAUUGGGCCAGAGGCUGUGGCUAUUGCGUUCGCCGACAGCCGAUCUGUUGCGCCUCCUUCUCGAUGCUCUCGAUCUGCCUGGCUCUCCGCUGUUGUGAGGCCUCUUCGUCGUGCUCGUGCUCGUGGCGGCCUGGGUCACCCUCGAUCUGUCGGCCUGGUUCCGGUGGGUCUGGCGGCCGGUGAAGUCCGGUAGCGUGGGAGCUUCCGGACUGGCUCGAAUAAAGGGGGUUUGGUCCUAGGAUCCCUCUCGCUGCCAUGGCGAUGAUCUGCUUGAUGCCCGUCUUCUUGGAUCUGGCUGAUGUGUCGAGUUCUGGAAUGCUCCACCGGCGAACCCCAAUGGACGACAUGCCGGGAGAUUGCCGAAUUGGAUGGGUUUCGGUCGUGCGCAACCAUGUUUUUUCUGAAUGUUUGGUUUCAAAGGAAGCGUUUCGAAGCUUUUCAGUCGGUUCCACCCUGGGACAUGUCUUUAGGCCCAUGGUGAAGUCAGUCGGGGAGAAGGACAUGAAAACCGAGAUCGGGAGACUAGUAAUGGCGGUUUGUGUCCUGCUGGCGAGAAGGUUUGGCUUGGUGAUCAGCGACUUGGAGCAAUGGCAUCAGAAAGUGGGGGCGACAACACAGGUGUAGAUAUGAAGUCCAGACCUUGCAGCGUGAAAACCCAAGAUCUGUUGUGUGUGGCAAUGUCCUUGUUGAAGGCAUUGUUUUCUGUUCUCUUGGGUGAAAACCUAUUGUCUUUGAUCAGGGUGAUGACGGCGCUUGUGCACUGUUCUCUUCUUGGAGGCAUCGCUUUUGGAGAAAUUGGAUCUUUGGUGUUAUCUUGGUGGUGUUUGGUCUACUGUUAUAGAAAAUUGAUCAUUGAAGCAGGAUUUUGUUUUCGGUAAUUUUUCUUCCUUUUUUGGUUGUGUAUAUCUGUUGCAGA